GCGAGAGGUCUGGACCAAACGUCCUGCCCGCGCCUGGCAACCGGGACCAAGCCACGCCCUUAUUCUUCUACCAGUGCUCUUCAUUCUUUGCAUAGACUCAAAUUUCCACGUGGCAUCAUGUUCCUCUGUCUGAAGAACUUCCUUUCUUUUAGCCAAGAUUUUACUCCACCGCUUCCGGAUUACAUAGUUUCCGAAGGGAAGUCUGCUCUAGUCCUUUGUUCUAUGUAUCUGGUUGUAUCUGUAUCUUUGCAAGGUUCUUGUCUCACAGAGCCGAAGAAUGAAUCUCUCGGACACAAAAAGGUGAAGUGAAGUGAAAGCUUAUUAAGUGAAGAUAGUCAUAAAGACGUAUCCGGACAUUCAAUGAAUCACUGCUGUGUGCUGUGAAAAUUAAUAAAAGGAAACAUGGUUUACCAUAUAGAAUCAGGAGGCCAGCAGGAGGAGCUCUCAUUCCCAGCACUGGUUAUCAAUUGCAGAUCCAACAGGAACAGAAGGACCUUACACAUGGAUACUAUCUUACCAUCCCAGGCACAGGAAGAAAAGUUGGCAACAGACCAGCCAAUGAGAGACAGUCACAGCUCAGCCCACGAGAAGCCACUUCCAAUUCCCCGUUUCCUUCCAUGGACUUUUUGUUUGUAACCGCCCUCCCAACUCUCUCUUUCCUCUAUAAAAGAGAAUUUCUCUCCUUUGUUCUGGGGACUUGCCUAUGGUUUUGCUGUAGCGUGCUUGUCCCUGAACUCUCUGCUAUUCCAGAAU